UUGUAACAAACACAAUAUUAAGGGCAACGUGCGUAAUCGAGUUUUUUUUUUAAUUCUUCGUUACAGUUUCAUACAAUUUCAUGUUUACAUUUGUCAACCUUUAUACUAUAUAAUUGAGAUUAGGACCUCAUGUCUCAAGGUGGGUGGCUGCGUUCAUUUGGUGAUGUCCAUGUGCGCCGGUAACUACUCAACAACAAGUGAACUCGUUGACCCAUCUAUGUAUGACCCAUCUAUAAAUUAAAAAGUAAAAUAAUCGCAUCGUGAAGUAAAAAUGGCGCCAGUCCUCUCGAUGUCUCGUAGAUCGAGUUGAAAUGAACCUUGACACUCGAACAGACUCGAGAGGUUUGCUCUUCGUUUGAGACUCGUAUUGUUACGUCACACGCAUUGUAUGUAACUGUUCUUGUUAUUAUUUGUACAAAACACGUACACGAAAAUAAAGAAAUGCGGGAAAAUAAUUGAAGACAUGUGUGCAUGAAGGGUGAUAUGAUACAAUUUAAUAAUUUUGAGAAAAUUGCCAACAAGCUUUUGUUACUUGUCCUUUUUCUUCGUACAUACUCCUUCGUCACAUGUAAUUUCUAAAAAUAGCUUUUAAGCUUGGAGUAUUAAGGUCUAAUAUCAUUUAUAGGCACAUAACACCUUCGUACAAUGUAAAAACUAAAAAAAUCUUAAAAAUGGUAUACUUAACCCCUUCGUUCACUCAUGUCUUCAGUUAAUGAAUACCAUUGACACAUUCUUAGCGAUACACAAUUUA